AGGUUUUGUUAGCUUGGAUUGUGGAGGAUCUCAGAGUUUCACUGAUGAGAUUGGGCUUGAAUGGACUCCGGAUGACCAUUUCACCUUUGGAGAAAGAACUAACGUUUCUCUCACGAAUGAGACAAGAACACAAUAUACGACAUUGAGAUACUUCCCAGCCGAUGACAGAAAGUACUGUUACACUUUAAACGUGACCACUAGGACAAGAUACUUAAUAAGGGCGACAUUCUUGUAUGGGGACUUUGACAGCAAUAACGUCUACCCAAACUUUGAGAUCUCCUUGGGACCUACUUUUUGGUCCACAAUUGUCAUUUCUGAUGCCAGUACUAUAGAAGUGCGAGAGCUCAUAUUUCUGGCCUCAGAUCCUACCAUAAGUGUGUGCUUAUCUAAUGCUACCACGGGCAACCCAUUCAUAUCUACCCUUGAGCUUCGUCAGUUCAAUGGUUCGAUGUACUUUACUGGCUUUGAAAACCAGUUCUAUCUCAGUACCUCUGCCCGGAUUAAUUUUGGUGCAGAAAGUGAAGAGCCAGUCAGGUAGAUCUAGAACAUUGUGGAUGUAUUUCUUCUGGCUUUUAUUUCUCGGCUGUUUGACUAGUUUCUCACCAACCUUGUAUUUUAUGAUUCCAGUUUUAAAAGAGUCUAGACUAUGAAUAAGUUGUUUGUCCUUAUUGCUCACAUGCGGUUCUUCUUUGGUAGGUAUCCAGAUGAUCCAUUCGAUAGAAUAUGGGAGUCUGACUCUGUAAAGAGAGCAAACUACCUUGUCGAUGUGGCCUCUGGCACCAAAAAGGUUUCAACCCAAUUGCCAAUUGAUGUUAACCGUGACGAGAGGCCACCUCAAAAAGUUAUGCAGACUGCUGUAGUCGGAACAAAUGGAUCGCUCACUUACCGUUUGAACUUGGAUGGGUUUCCUGGUAAUGGUUGGGCAUAUUCCUACUUUGCAGAAAUUGAAGAUUUGGCUCCCGAAGACACAAGGAAAUUCAGGCUGGUGCUCCCAGGCGCGCCUGAUAUCAGCAAAGCUGUUGUCAAUAUAAUGGAAAAUGCUCAAGGCAAAUAUCGCCUGUAUGAGCCAGGAUUUGAGAACCUAACCCUCCCAUUUGUACUGUCCUUUAGGUUUGGGCGGACAAUAGAUUCUUCAAAGGGUCCACUAUUGAAUGCCAUGGAGAUAAACAAGUAUGUGAAGAAAAUCGAUGGUUCUCCAGAUGGUGGGUCCCUUGAUCAAUUUCCAUUGAGUUUGUUACCGUUUGCAAGAUUGUUGCUAAUGCGAUGAUCAUAUUAUGAUUUAUCACACUUGGUGUGGGCUUGUAGAGCCCUGUUUCUGGCACAUCUAAAUUAUUAUGCUAAAUCCACCCUUUGUCAGCAUGAUAUAUGUAGUUUUAUCUAUUUAACUUAAGGUUUUUCCAUGAGCUGCAGGAGGAGUUAUUGCUAGCAUAAUUUCACCCUAUACCUCAGCAGCUUGGGCACAGGAAGGUGGAGACCCGUGCCUGCCAGUUCCAUGGACAUGGGUGCACUGCAGCUCAGAUUCUCCUCCACUGAUAACUGCAGUGUAUAUGUCUACUUCUUGUGAUGUGCUUGUGUGAACACAUUUUCUUAUUCUAGGAGCAUGUCAACGCUGUAUGAACGACCGAGUUUUGAAGUUAUAAAUUGUAUUUCUGCAGCAAAUUGUCUGGUCAGAAUUUGACCGGAAACAUUCCUUCAGACAUUACAAAAUUGAGCGGCUUGGUUGAGCUGUAAGUUUAUGUAGAAAUUCCCUUUUCACUCGAUAGUAGUUGAUUUCUUUCCGAUGUCUAUGCUCGAACUUUUCAUGCCAAAUGUUGAAGUAUGCCUUGGCCUAUUUUCUGAAGGCGGCUCGAUGGGAAUGCACUCACUGGUUCAAUACCCGAUCUUUCUUCAUGCGUGAACCUGGAGAUCAUGUAAGGUCCAUGGAUUGUCCUCUUUGAAUGGACUUAGAUAAUUUAAUGCUGACGAAUCUCUUUUGUGAUAGUCAUCUUGAGAACAACCAAUUGACUGGUGAGCUGCCUUCUUCUCUCGCGACUCUGCCAAAGUUGAAGGAACUGUAAGUAUUCUUAAACUUACAUGAGGAUUUCUCAUUUACCAUGGCUACAAUUCAAAGAACUAGUGUAUCGUCCUUCUGAAUUUCACAUGUGGAUCUGACCGAUAUGUGAUUCUCAGGCCUCGAAUGAAGUAUUGAUAUAAUUGUUGAUUAGUGAACAGUUUUCUGUGAUGACUUUUGUGCUGUGUCUGAGUAAAAACCUUAUGCACAUGCUAAAUUUGAUGGCUGUAGGUACGUCCAGAAUAACAAGUUAUCAGGCACAGUGCCAUCUGGUCUUCUCAACAAAAAAUUGAAUCUGAAGUGGGUACAGCCUCUGAUAAGUCUUACUGCAAUGCUGAAUGCUCCUGCAAUCAUGCACACAUCACACUUUAUCUCAUUACAUUUAACUUAAAUCGAGUUAUUCUGUGUAUGUUGGCCUAAUUGCAAAGGGCCAACAAAAGCAAGGGAAACUUUUUAUUUUUGUUGGCAUGAUGCAGUAGAUAAUGCCAAAAUUAUGGCUGUUGGCCAGACCACACAAAACACUGUUACUUUGUCAUAAAAAUUAUCCAGUAUUUACUGUUGGCCUUAUUAAUUUGACUGAAAGGUUUCUCAGACGUGGGUAACAGACGUUUUGGAGCUCAGAUCCUUAUCUAGCUAAAAGUAUUAUGUGUCAUUCUGUAGCGUUGUGUUGGUAUUAGCCUUUUGAUCUGUGGAGAUCCUUCAUUCUGUCACCUGCUUUCAUUUUGUAGUUACCAGAUUAACUUUUGAUCAGUUGAUUAUGGCAAAGCAAACAGCUUGUUCUCUUGCUAAGCUUUUGGUGGUACUAUGCCUUCUAAUUGCUUCAAUCUAUGAUUGAAGCUGCCACAAUCUUUUGCAGAACAAUAUAAUCAUCAUUAUAUAAUUUAUACGUCUCUCAUAGUGAAAGGAUGUCUCUUAGAGAUCCAUAUUUUAGGAUUUUUAUUUUCAUAUCCAGAUUUUUAGGCGCAGUUUGUGUUUUGGCGCCAGAUGUGGGAUUACAGCACUACAGAUAGCUUCUACUGCCAAAUUAUCUCGAUGCUUUUUCACAUUUUCUUGAAAUCUUUCUUUUAACCCUGUAGAUAUUUAUAUCUGGACUUGGUUCAUCAUUCUUUACUGAGUUUUUACUUUUCCGUACUUUUUACCGCACCUGUAUCUUUGUCAAUUAUUUGCCAGUAGCUUCUUAACACUGUUCUCAACAGUUACACUGGAAAUAUGAAUCUUCAUGAAGGAGGGAAAAGUGGAAGCCAGACUAAGAUUAUCAUUGGUUCAUCAGUCGGAGCUGCUGUUCUCCUGGUAGCCACAAUUGCCUCCUGUCUCUUCAUACAGAAAGGAAAGAGGAAUUCUAAGCAUGGUAUGAGUUUGGAGCAAUCAAGAGAAUGACGUAUCCAUCUUGUUGUGUUGACCUCUCUAUUCUGCAAUAUUCUUAUUUUUUCGUGAAAUCUUUGCUAGAUGACAAUGUGCAAAUAUUGCCGACGCAGCGGCUAGUUUCUUCCUUGAGUAAUGCUCCUACAGAAGCUGCUCAUUGCUUUAUGCUAUCAGAAAUUGAAGAAGCUACAAACAGAUUUGAGAGAAAAAUUGGUUCUGGAGGAUUUGGAGUUGUCUUUUAUGGGAGACUGAUAGAUGGAAGAGAAAUUGCAGUCAAGGUUCUGACUAGUGAUUCCUAUCAAGGAAAGCGAGAGUUCUCAAAUGAGGUAAUUGUACCAAAUUUUGAACCCUUUAUGUUUAGGGAUGCUUAGUAGUCUCUGCCGGGAUCUGCCACAUGAAUUUGUCACGAGUUAAUGUGCUUUUCUUUACUCACAAGGAGUAAGCACAUGCUACUACUGGGAUCUUCUUGACUAAACUCAAAUCCCUAGGGGAGUGAGUAAUGAAAUAACUCCUUGUCUGUUUAAUGGGAAUUCAGUAUAUUUACCUUUUCUUGUCCUUAAAUUUUAGUAGCUGCAAAGUCUUUUGUGUUGAUGUUUCUGAAGCAUUUUUCUUUGAAUUACCAUCUGAAUAUCAUCCAACCCUUUGUCACUUAGAUUAAUUUUCAUGAAACUAGUACUCUGCACUGACAAAAUUGUCAUUAGCAUCAGUUAUCAGCUACAUCGUCUAACUAAUGCUGUAUGUGAUCUAGGUGACUCUUCUUUCAAGAAUACAUCACAGGAAUUUGGUACAAUUCCUUGGAUAUUGCCAAGAAGACGGGAAAAACAUGCUGGUUUACGAGUUCAUGCAUAAUGGAACUCUUAAAGAGCACCUAUAUGGUAAGCUCAUACGCUUUCGUCAUGCCGUGAGCCUCUGUUAUCAUGUGUCUAUAUUAAUUCCAUAUAUCUAUCUCUAAGGUCCAUUGCCUCAUGAGUGGAAUUUUAAUUGGAUCAAACGCCUUGAGAUUGCUGAAGAUGCUGCAAGAGGUCGGUAGUCCUCUAUAAACUGGUUUAAUUCCCCAUAGAAGUCAUUUUAGCUACCAAAGUUGGUAAUCUUAUUCAUUGUGUUCAGGGAUCGAGUACCUUCACACUGGAUGUGUUCCAGCCAUCAUACAUAGAGAUUUGAAAAGUAGCAACAUUCUUGUGGACAACAACUUGAGAGCAAAAGUUUCAGAUUUUGGUCUCUCAAAAUCUCAAGUUGAUGGAGUCUCCCAUGUCUCAAGUGUGGUUCGAGGAACUGUUGGGUAUCUGGACCCCGAGUAAGGCAUCUUUUUGGUCACGCCUUCUGUUUUUCAACAGAUAUAUAGUUUUUUGAAGUUGAAGCAAGUUAAUAUGGUGUCAUUAUGCCUUGAUGCAUUUUUUAUCUUUGAAUUGGGAAUACAUCACCUUGGGCAUGUUUUGAAAAAUCUGACUAGGCAAGCUUUGCACUUAUUCAUGAAUGUGUCUCGGCCUCCUCACUUUCCCUUCUGAGUGUUGACAAAAGCCUUCCUGCUUCUUUGAUAAUUAUAAGAUCUGUUGAGAAGCAUAUUCCAUGAAAUUGCAUUCUUUGUGCUAGCUCUACGCUCCACAUGUGAAGACUUUGUGUUUGUGUCUCGCCUUAUCAUUCUUCUGGGCUCAAUGCUCCUACUCUCACCCCAACGAGGAGAUGCAGUUGUCUCCACUUUGUACCUUGAGGCCAUUAGAAAAUGAUGUUCAUUGGCAAAUUGCAUUCGCAACUUAUCUAACACCACUCACCAAUGCAACUUCCAAGCCCAUAUGAGUUUGACUCAUACUCACUUAUGAAGCUGCUAUGUCAUUGAAGGAAACCUUAUUCUGUUAGUGUGGAUUGUUCCAGAGGGAAAAUGGUAGCAAACUAAUUGAUGCAAUCGUAUACUAUGUAAAUGCAUUGGCUGCUAAGCAGCCCCUUGUGCUAGAACUUCAGGCAUACAAUGUUAACUGGACUUUGAUUUUUAGAAUCAGACACUUUGUAUGUGUACUUUUAUAAGCAUAUGCAUGAAUUGGUACUCUUCCCUAAUUUUGUUGAUGCUUUUGCAUGUACAUUAUAUAGUUUAAUGAUAUAAGUGACUAGUUGGUUGUAGAAUUAUGUGGGUUUACAGCCAAUAGUUCUAAAAGCUUAAACUAAUCGAUAGAGGGAGCCCACAUGCAUAUAAGGCCCAUUGAUAUACCAUGGACAAGUAACGUGGGAUAUUUUAAUGUGGAAUUGACAAGGGGAGGGCCCCACACGUGGCAUAAACUGAGGUGAAAUUUGGCUCUAAUAUAAUGUUAAGUCCAACAUAAAACGCUUAAGUUGUUAGAAGAGAGCAUGGUUUAAUAUUUUUGUACUCUUAACACUCUCCCUUACAUGGUGGUUGGACUUUGACCUAAGACUUAAGCAUGAAAAUAUAUAAUCGGGGAGGUAAAUGGCGGCUACAAAAAUUUGAAUUCAGGACCUCUCAUUCUAAUACUAUGUAAAGCUUGAACUAUGAGAAAAUGGUAUAAUUUAAUUUAAUGGUUCUCUUCUUAUCUUUGUGGGAAUUUGACAGGUAUUACAUCUCCCAGCAAUUGACAGAUAAGAGUGAUGUCUAUAGUUUCGGCGUCAUUCUUCUUGAAUUGAUAUCAGGUCGAGAAGCAAUUUCUAACGAAAGCUUCGGUGUGAACUGUCGCAACAUAGUCCAGUGGGUAAGUCCAGUGUAAUAAGUACUAUGAAACCUUCAUUUUUAAUUUCAAAGCGAAAUCUGGCACGUGUAUGUUCCUUCACAUGUUGUACUCUCUAAUUAUAGGCGAGACUACACAUAGAGAGUGGGGACAUCCAAGGCAUCAUCGAUCCGAACCUACGUGAGGACUACGACAUCCAGUCGAUGUGGAAGAUAGCGGAGAAGGCUCUGAUGUGCGUCCAGCCCCACGGGCACAUGAGGCCAUCGAUCUCGGAGGUUCUCAAGGAGAUCCAAGACGCAUUGUUGAUCGAGAGAGAAGCCUUGGCGGCGCGAGAGGGCCUGUCGGAUCUGUCAAGGAACUCGUUCCACUCGUCUGUCAACAUGGAUGCCUUUGAUAUUCCUGGGACUGAGAACUACGUAGCGAUCGACGAGUCUAUUGCGCAGCCAACUGCUCGGUAGAGCUUCAUCUUCUCUUUCUUUUAAUUCCUUGUAAUAUUUCCUGUUCAUUCUUGGGAGCGGCUGGUGAUUGUAUUCCUUGUUGUCUGGGGUUAAGGUGAAGUAUCUGGUGAUCAUGAUUAGAAUUGCCUGCCUAGUUGAUCUACCCCGGUGAACCGUGGUGAGAUCUCUUUCUGUCGGUUGGUUAUAUCAAGAUAUGUGCUAGCUAGCCCAGUUGAUACGCUUGGUUAUAUAAAGAUAAGGGUUUAGCCCAGAACAUUUAAGUGGGAAUUGUUUUCUAUCACUCUUACUCGACGCCAUGGUUCGAGUAAUUAUAUCUGUGCAUUCUCUUGAUUCCAAUGCUGAAAGCAAAAUCCUGGUGGAAUGAUGAACUGCCACACCUGAUUGGAGUUGGGAUUAUUCGGGUAUUCAUAGUCUUUGCUGAUAAAAAGGGGAAAAAAUGAAUAUUGUGUCAGAUGGACUCCCAGGUUUUAAAAAUGAUGUUAAUAUGUAAUGACUCAUGUAAUAAAUUUAUAAUUCAUUAAGUGAUAUGAUAAAUUCUGUGGGUUGGCUUUCUGACGGAUGCUUUUGUCUUGUCAUUUAGUAAACCAAUUUCAUAAACAAGUCCUUCCGUCCCUAGCAUUUUGCUUUUGCUACGUGUUGGGUCCUAAUGAGCAAUGCUGGAGAUACAAAAAUUGCUCUGCUAGAUUGAUUUACUAAGUGGUGGCGCAAGUCUCUAAGUGGAUAUUAAAUUUAGUGGGCGUUGAAGCAUUUAAAUAUUAAAUUUUAUGCUCAUCUAGGGCCUAAGGUAAUGACCUCAGGUGGCAUGAUCCUGUUGACCCCAAAGUCGAGGUCGUGUGACCCCAGUAAGGGCCGCCCGUGCAACCUCAGUGAGGGGUGCCUAAGGUCGCAUGAGGUGGAAAUAGCGAGGGUAAACAUUAAAUUUCGAGAGUUUAUCAAGAGGAAAGUCGGAAGAAAAAAACUGAAUAGUAUUUCAUAAAUGCUUGAAGCCCAAAGCUUGGUAGAACUUGUAUUGAGCUAAGGGUCUUUAGAGAACUUUGAAAAUGCAAUCGCAUGUCUCCAAAACUAGCCAAAAAAAUUGUCAAACGCCAGUGGCGUAUGGUCGGGGGCCUUCAGAGCCCAAAACCUAAUUGUAAAGUACAACCAAAUGCAUUUUUUGUUGAAUCGUAAAGAGGGUGAAAUGAAUAAAGAAGGAAAAGAGGACGAAACCCUUUUUAAUGUUAUGUUGGGAAGAAAAGCAAAAGAGGAAAGAGAAGAAAGUGAGGGAAAAGAAAUUGGGCAUGGAGAGAAUACUUUGGCCUUCUGUUCUUGGAGAUAAAAAAUAUUGGUGGAUGAAAUAUGGAGAGUUUUCAAAAGGAGAAAGGUAAAAUAGGGUUUUAGGACCUUUUUAAUAUCCUAAGAUGUAAAUUUUGAAAAUUAUGCUCCCCAUGUUUUUGUCCUAGUCAUGCUUCCCAUCCUUUAAAUUUCUCUCUCUCUCUCUCCAUCUUCAAUUUACUCCCUCAAAAGGCAUUUGGCAAGAUCAAAGAAGUCGGAACUUUUUCUAUAAAAAUAUCUUUAAACUAGACAUAAAACAUGAAAAGCAAUAAAUUCCAGCGAUAUCAAAUGGGGAUAAUAUGUUUCGACCAAAAAAAAAAAGAAAUGGGGAUAAUACAAUCAUACUUAAGAUGUAAAUGUAUAAGAGGCAUUGAAUCCUCAAAGAACAUAAUUUACCAAGAAAGUUUGGUAUAGUCAUCACUUUUACUUCUCAUAUUUAAAGGAUUUCAAUUUUAAAAAAAAAUAAAAUGCAAUGAUAGUUUCCUAUCAACGAAAUCGAUCUAAAUGAGUAAACUUACUCAAUUGAAUCCCCAAGUGGAGUUCGUAAACAUUCGCAGUAUAAAUGGUUGGAUUACUCGAUUUUCAAAGCAUUUGUUGCACGUGUUAGAACAAAACUCAGUGACUAAAUGUUUCACAAAGAUCAUCUCUCUAGUUAUAUAAAAACCCAAAGGCAUCAAUUAAGAGAAAUCCUUCUGACAAAAUCCGACCAAUAAUUAAUGAGUUUAUCGGUAACCUUAGAAAAUGCGAAAAACGGUGUGAAUAUUAUAUGAAUCGCAUGCUUCGGAUGAAACAGAUCAACCAAUGAUGUGGCGAGAACAAGGGGACAGAAUAUACUCGACGUAGUCCAAGUCCAUCCCUCUUCCACUCGAGCAGUUCUUCCCUACACCUCGGCCUACGCGUUUAACUCCAUCUCAGCCUUAGAUGAAGCGGGUCGGAAGCGGGGCCCACAUGAUCUAACGAUUAAAAUCCAGUGGGCUCACGUGCAAGAACUCCGUCUCUCUCUGUCGUCAUCCUCUCCUGCUCCUCUCCUUCUUCGUCGUCCAGUCAUCGUCCUCUCGUCGUCAUCGUCGAAAUCGUCGUCAUUGUCGCAUCGCUCUCUCUCUCUCUCUCCCCUCGUCCUGCUCUUUUUCUGAGCAGAGCCGAGCAAGGAGAAAGCAGGGCUGCCGUCGUCUUGCCUCCCUAUCUCUCUCUGUCUCUCUGUCUCUCUAGAGAGAGCGUUACGCAUUGUGCCAGGCUCGAAGCAACAGGCGGCGACGGCUUCAUCUUCUACACUGCACGACUCUGCCCCUCUGUUUUCCCGUCCUCUUCUUUCAGCUGGGGGUUUAAAGGUGCUGUCUUGACGCGCGAGACGAGGUACGAUAUGGCGAUUGAUCUCUCUCUCUCUCUCUCUCUCUCUCUCUUUUUCUGGGCUCUUGGCUCGAUUGUUUAAUCUGAUUUCAGUGUUGAAAUCUUGUAGAUUGAUGAAUUUGAUGGAGGGGACCGGAAGGCAUCGUUGGACAUGACUGAGGAUGAAAUGGUGUGGAUGGAUAUACCGGACGAGAUAAAUUCAUGUCCAUGUAUUUGCUGACUUGUAUUUUGGUUUGGACCUCUAAUUCAAAUAAACGCGUGUGCAUUUUCAACGCGAUGCGCGAAAUCAGCGCCUGCUGAGUGAUUCUCACUUGUCGUCCGGCAGAGAGAAGCAGGAAUCGCAUGACUGCAAGUUCUGAACUUGAAACAGAAUACUGCAGAGAUAAAGGAGGACGGGAAUAGUCAUCUUUUGCCAUACAUGGAUUGUGUUAGUAAUGUGGGUGAGUGUAUGACAGCCGCACCCAUUUUGCAUUAUGAUGAUUUUAGGGAUGAAACGCGGAGGUAUGAAAGAUCGGCAGAAUCAGGUCGAGAGAUCAGUAUAUUGGAUCUUGUCUGGUGCAAAAUAAGGGCCCUUAUUGGUGGCCAGGGAAGCUAAUUGGUUGCUCUGCCGGAGUGACAAAGGAUUAUUUUGUGGUGGCAUGUUUUGGGGAUCAGGAACGUGCUCCUGAUCGAGUUUCGCUGAUAAAGCCAUUGUGGGAACAUUUCCCACUGAUGGAGAAGCAAAGCGGCUUGGACAAGCUCCGUCAUGCAGUGGACUGUGCUCUCGGCGAACUCUCUAGGUGGGUGGAAUACGUGCUGACUUGCCGGUGUGUGCCCAGGGAAGUGCAAACCAGGUUCGAAGCUCAGGGUGAAGCUAAUCUGCUUUGGUGAAAAAUUCAAGUCAACAGGGCACUGAAGAUAGUGUCCUGAGUACGGCUUCUUUUACACCUCGAGAACUUGUCAAGUAUAUAAAAAAAUGGGGUGUCUCGCCUUGUGAUGGACCUAGCAGACUCCUCUUUCCGUGGCAAAGAGUCAACUGUUGGCCUUCUCCCGAUGGAAGGCGUUUUCUCGGCUACCUGAAUUCAUAUCGUUCAGUGGGAAGUUGGAGAACGAGACCGAUAUGACUCCAUUAGGAGAUUGUUAUCAGAACCCUACAGAGAUUCAUGGCUCCAAUCCAGAGUUUUGGGGCUGUCAUGGGAUGCCAGUGGUGAAGACAGGAUGUUGCAUAAGCAACUUGAGUGAGCGUAAGAACAGUUUCCAAGACGGAGUGCAUCCUGGAAACAAGAGAAAGACCUGCCUUGCCUUGUGCACUGAGAACUGUCUGUGUACUUCAACCGAUGAAGUUGGGUCCGUCAAAAGAUCUCGUGGGAGCUCCUUUUUGUUUGGCAAAACAGCUGCUCCUAAUGAAUCAGUAUCACCAUGUACAGGUGCUCUGACGAAGAUUAGCACGGACCAAUCUGUGCACAUGUUCGAGCAAAAUCACAUGGGAAUGCUUGAGGUCCAGAGGAAAACAGAAUGUCACAUAAACAACUCAAAUGAGCUUAAGCACAUCCCGUUUAAUGUGGUGCGUCCUGGAAGAAAGAGGAAGAGCUUCCCAGCCCCGUCAGCAAAGAAUUGUCAGCAUAUCUCGACAGAUGAAGUUGGGACAGAUAAAGGAGCUUGUGGGAACUAGUUUGGCAAAGCCGCUGGUCUGAAUGAAUCAGUAUCAGCAUGUACAGGUGCUCCGACCACGAUUAGCGUGGACCAAUCCAUGCAGUUCAAGCAAAAUCAUAGAGCAAUGCGCAGAAUCCAUAAGGUUGCAAGUGAAUCGAAUGGGUCACUUUCAUUGGAGGAGCAUCUUAAAUAAAGUCCCUCAGGUAGGAGCAACAUUAACGCCCAUUCUGGUCUCAUUCCUCAUGAUUCCUGGAGUAGAAAACACCUCCUUGGAUAUGCCUCUCCUAAUCAGAAGCUGUUGCGGCUGUCUUUUUUCCGACUUGCGCAGUGAGACACUUUUCGGAAUUCAGAAAUUCGGUUGUUCCGGAUCAUCUCCCAUUGAAUUCGUGUGGAGAGUCUGCACAAGAAGCAUCUAUUGUUAAAAUUCAGAGUACUUUGACAAACUUUAGUGUCGCAGAACCUUUGGAUCUCAAGUGCUUCAAGGAUUCUGUCAGGACCAGCACAAUAAUUAGUAGCAUUCAGGAACCGCGACUGCCGCUUGAAAAUUGGAAUGCGGGGGAUUCUCUGCUUAAAACCCCUCGUGAGAGAGGCUGUUCCUUCCGUGGUACCUAAAAUGGAUAUGAAAUCCCUUACUAUAUGCUCAAUAUUGUAAGAGAGAGACAGAGAGAGGCAACGACAGGAGUGACCCUAAACAAAAGUGAUGAUCAAUGCUAGAACUAGCGGUGUUCAAGAUUGGUGAUUGCAUCGUGAUGGUGGAUAUUUUUAUUUUUGCCGAUUGAUGCGUCUCCUUUAAAAAGUAGAAAAUUACUCGUUAGAAAACAACGUGUCUUUUAACUAAUUCGUGACGUUAAUAUAAUGGGUAAGUGAGCAUACAUCGUUAGGACUUGGGUUACCUUAAUUUAGGUAAAGAAAAGGUAAAUAAAGGAGAGCGGGAACUUUUUACGAUUCAAUGUCAAAAGCAGAAAAAGAAAAGGAGACUUGGGUUACCUUAAUUUAGGUAAAGAAAAGGUAAAUAAAGGAGAGCGGGAACUUUUUACGAUUCAAUGUCAAAAGCAGAAAAAGAAAAGGAGACUUGUGACUUAUGUGCUCGAAUGGUGGGCCAGGUAAACGCUCGUUAUCCUGCUUUUAAAGACUUUUCUCCCAUAUUGGAAUCAUCUCCCCUACGCUUACGUUUGGGUGGUUAAAAUAAAAUUUAAGAUAUGAUAAAAUUUAUCCUAUCUUACAUUUAAUAUUUAUUUAAAAUAGAAUAAAGUCGGACAUAAAAUGAUAUAGGCCGGAUAAAAUUCUUCCAUAAGAAAUGUGAGAUUAAGGUAGAUAAAAUUUAUAUUAUCUAAAAUAGGAAAAGUUUUUUUGCUCAAAUAACAAACUUAUUAAAUUAACAAAUUUAAAAUUAUAUUUCAGUAUAAAUAAUAUUUAAAUUCUAAUAUAAUAAAUUCAAAAUAACAAUUUAUAUUUAAUUUAAUCUUAAUUUUAUUUACAUAUUUGAAUUUAAUUUUAUCUUAUAAAAUAAAUUCAAUAUAUAAAAUUCAUAUAUUUGUUACAUAUUUUAGGUGUUUUAGUAUUUUAGGUGUAUUAGUACAAUUUCUAUUUAAAAAAAUUAUUAGAGAAUGAUGGAAGGGAAAGAAAGAAAUAAAAAAAGAAAUUACUUAAAAAAUAAAGGAAAAUAAAAUAAAAAUAAAGUAAACAAAAGUGUCGCAAUAUACUUUUACCAUCUCUAUUUGUAAAAUUUGUGGUUCAUUUAUAUCGAUAUGUCAUUUACAGCAAUCAAUAUAUAUGAUAUGAUGUGACUAUAUCCAACUUUAUUAAUACAAUUACCAAACAAUUGAUGGGAUAUAACAAAAUUUCCUAGAUUUCAUAUCCUUCUAGUCUACUCCUAUCUUGUUUGGAAAUCCUAAAGACCAAACGUAACCCAAAGGGACAAACCCUUCUUAUCUAGAAUCAUCUUUUGGCUUUGAGUGUGGCAUUUGGAUUGGCUCCUAUCUUUUGUUUGGCAAAGAAUGCAUAAUGGGAUUCGGACGAAACAGGGACUAAUCUCAUCCGUUACUGAAAUAUUCAACUGAAGAUGCAUUAUCAAUUACUCAUUUGGUAAGCUCAUCACCACUGUCCCACUCGAUACAAGCGAAGAAACCUAAACAAACUCAACCCUCAUCUAUAUAGACUAACCAAGAUUUAUUGAGAUUAAGAUAGAUUGGUUUGAGACGUAUGGUAUUGAUGUGAAAUGGUAAAUUGUAGUCUACAUGGCUAGUUGCUUUCUUUUCUUCCGUAAUUUUUGGAAGAAAAAACUACUAUACUACUGGUAAUCUUACUUAUGAAUUCCCUCAAAAAUUAAAAGAUGAAAGAUAACUAUUCUAAUUUUCAAAAGAUUAAGAAAACAUCAUAAAAUAACAUGUUUACUUUUUGAAAGAUUUUAUGCAUAUUGCAUUAGAUAAAAGUUAAAACAUAUGAGUGGCAAAUUUUUCAAAGAGAUAAAAAAUAAAAUGUAGUAAUCAUCCUAAAUCAUAAAAAUUAGUUGUGUAAACGGGAUGGCAAAUGGACCUGUGAAGUCUGGUUUGUAUAAAAAAGAAAUUCAAAGGGAGAAACAAAAAAAAAAAAUGGACAAAUUGGGAGGUUGGUAUUUAAAAUUUCCAUUUCAACCAUCAGCUAACGUUUCUUCAUCUACGAAACAAAUGUUUGUAUAAUCUAAUAGAUUAUAUCUAUGAUAAAAAUUAGUGUGGAGAAUUGGCCAACGAAUAAUGCGUCAAUGACUAGAUUAUCAAGAAAGUAAAAAAAAAAAAAAUCAAAAAAGAGUGUCGCAAUAUCAUAAAAAAUAAACGAUAAAUUGAAAAGGCAAAUAAAAAAGAUAUAAAAUCUAGAAAUAAAAAUAGCCCCCACACAGAUGAUACAAAUCUGUAUUUGAUGGUUGGUGUGGCUAUAGGUUUCAUACAACUAUAAAUUGAUCCGAUGGAAAAGGUCUUAAAUAAAAAAUAAAUUAAAUUAAAUAAGAUAAGAGCGUUGCAUCGAGCUACAGGAUAGUCAAAAGUAAAUUUUUUUCUAAUGUACGAGUUAAUGUCAAAAGUGGAAACCCUGACUUCUAAUCCGGUUUAUUCAAGCAACCGAUCCCCGUGUGUUUUAUACCCUCGCUUUUGAAGUAAACGGUUUGACUGGGAAGUCAACCAUCUUGUCCUCGUCUACUUCAACACAAGUCCCGAUCGCCACUAUUGUCAAUAGUAAUUCUCGCAGAUGGAUGGAGGUCCCCCGCUUCGAGAAAAUAUUGGAUACGUUUAGUCCUCCAACCUCCAACGUGGCAAAUAAGAAGAGACCUCAAAUUGCGCCACGCGUCCAGCGUGCCCCACAUUGUCGGGGAAAUUUCCCCCAUUUUUCUCUCUCCUCUCUGCACUCUCCCCCCUCUGCACGGUUUCUCCCCAAUUUUCUCUCUCCCUCCUCUGCACACUCUCUCGCCCGAAUCUCUAUCUCCGAUCGCUUUUUUUUUUUUUUUUUUUUGUGGAUUUCUAUGUGUUUCCAAUCCGACCCAUUUUAGGCCGCUUUUGCCUUCACCGGCGCUAGGAAUCGGGGCUUCUUGGAGGGACGUGGGUUCUCCACCUCGUCGUCCACGUUGCCGGAGACUGCGAACCGGGGGGAGAACUCCGGGAGUGCCGGGGUGUUCAGAUUGAACUCGCGGUGCCCCUGGCUCUGCGUAUGAGUUGACCCCACGCCCUCCGAGACGCUCACCCUGUUGGCAGUCGAGGCGGCGGCGACGGCGGCUGAGGAGGCAGGAGUGGGGGCCUCAUAGUGGUACCUCGUGCCCACCGAGAGGUUGGCCUGUGGGGAAGCACAGAUCGAGAACUCGUGCACCUUCCCGGACAUACCGGAGGAGGUGGUCGUCGCGGAGGUGGAGCUGGCCGGCUGUUCGUCCGCACCGGCGAAGAGAAAGUGUGUUGGGAGGAGAGAGGAGAGAGAAAAGUGAGAAGAGUCGGGCGAGAGAGCGUGCAGAGGAGGGAAAGAGAAGAGAGAGGAGAGAGGAAGGUGGGGAGAAAUUCAUCGAGAGAGCGUGCAGAGUGGGGAGAGAGGAGAAGAAAAGUGGGGGAAAAUUUCCUGAUAAUGGGAGCCCACGCUGGACACGUGGUGCAAUUAAAAUUGCUUUCUUAUUUGCCGCGUUGGAGUACGAGACGUGCUCAAUAUUUUCCCCCCAAAAAGAUUAAACGAUGGCUGACGAAGAUCUCGUCUUGUUCCUAAGUUUCCUCCUCUCUCCGUAAGCGAGUCGUCGCCAAAGUCCAGCUUCCACACACUGUCGCCUCCAGUCCCACUUUCCGCGUGCACAGGCCACCACCACAGCUCCGUCUCUCCAGUUUUAUCACGACGAAGCUCGACAGGUGAAAGCAAUGAUGGAACGAGCAGAUUUGAAGCCUUUCUUGCGGUUUAUGGUGAUGGCGAUUUGUGGCCCGCUCUUUCUGUAAAUGGCAAGAAGCUGAGCAGUUCCUUCUUCUCCUCUCACGGGAUUAUUUUUGGGAACUCUCUGCUGGAACUACAGCUUCCGCCAUUACCAAACCUUCCCCUCUCUCUCUCCUGUAAAGCGACUCCUUUUCUUGGUCCUUCAAAAUAAAUAGAAAAAGGGCUUCGCUCCACUGGCCCUCUCUUUCUCCCUCUGUGUUCUUUUUUUAGUCCGAACGUUGCUGACACGUUCGGACUGGCUUUUCUCCGUUUCUUUCUUCUGGGCAAUCUUUCCUUUCCCUCUCCCUCUCUCUCUCUGGGACUCGCGGAGAAGACACGGAUAUGGGAAGAGGACUCUUCCUGUUCUUGCUCGUCUUCUACACUUCGGUUCUCAUGGAGCCCUCCACUGCUCAGAUGCCAGGUUCUCUCUCUCCGCCCCUGUUGAAUCUCCUGAUUGCCUUUACUUUGGUGAAAGCCAAAGAAUCUUGAAAUUAAGACGUGACGUGCCUUCAUCAUUUUAUAUUAAUUUGGUAUGACUGAGUAGUUUUGAGAAGUUCUUUGGGUGAUGAUCCUUACCCUUAGUUUUCGUUCUUCUGAAGGCUCCUCCUUUUGCUUGCUUAUUUCUGUUGUAAGAAUCACCUGUCGCUGUUUGCUUCCACGUGCAAAUUAUGCGGUUGCUCUGUUGAGGUUGAGCAUUCCUCCGUGCAUCUGCACGUGCAAUCUUGUGACUGCCGGUCGUUUCUGUGUUUAAUUUCAAUGCGUUUCUUCGUCCUCUGCUUGUACCGAAGAAAUUGUAGAACGAAUCGUUCCUGUGUAAACGAAAAUGUGUGGUCUUCCUGUCUUGUUAAAAAUUCUAUUUAGCAUCUAUGUGAAAGUUCAUAGCACAAUCUGUUAUAGACAGACGAAGGUGUUUUUAUUUUGAUGUUUUGAGUGAGUGAAUUGAAGAAUCAAAGACAUAUCAAGAUUGGUACCUCAUUGCCCCAGGUCAAUUUACUGGUAAUUUGAAUAGCCAGUGAUUGUUAUUUUUCUAAUAUAUGGACAUUAAGAGCAUCAUAACCUUUAUCAUACCCCUGUUAAUUUCAUGACAUAUUUCAGGUAAAGAAACGUUACACUUCUUUGAGACAAGAUUGCUGCUUUUUUGCAGUCCUUUGUUGAUGAGAUACAGAUUUCCCGCAUCUGCUUCACAAUUUGCUGAUACACAUCACUUUUUUGCGUUGGCCAACUGAUAUGCAUGAUUUCAUUCGGCAGGUUUUGUUAGCUUGGAUUGUGGAGGAUCUCAGAGUUUCACUGAUGAGAUUGGGCUUGAAUGGACUCCGGAUGACCAAUUCACCUUUGGAGAAAGAACUAACGUUUCUCUCACGAAUGAGACAAGAACACAAUAUACAACAUUGAGAUACUUCCCAGCCGAUGACAGAAAGUACUGUUACACUUUAAACGUGACCACUAGGACAAGAUACUUAAUAAGGGCGACAUUCUUG
rnacentral:lncRNA from 1 species